rnacentral:pre_miRNA from 1 species
AACAAAUCAACUUUUUAGUUUUUGGGUAUAAUGUUUAACUCUUCGUCUUAUUCAAAAAAAUUACGAUUGAUCAUUUUAUUUUUUGUAGAUGAUAAACAUGAAUAGUACUUGAUGUGUGACUAAUUUUUUAAAAGUUUCUUGAAAAUUUUUCAAAUAAGACGGAUGGUCAAAUGCUUGAUAAAAAACCGAAAAGUUGGAUUUUUG